GCUGGAUGUGGUGGUGCAUGCCUGUAAGUUCCAGCUACUCAGGAGGCUGAGGCAGGAGGAUGGAUGAGCACAGGAGUUCUGGGCUGUAGUGUGUGCUAUGCCGAUCAGGUGUCAGCAUAAGUUCCACAUCAGUAUGGUGACCACCUAGAAGCGGGGAUCACCAGGUUACCUAAGGAGGGGUGAACCGGCCCAGGUCAGAAAUGGAGCAGGUCAAAAACUCCCUGCUAGCCUGGGCGCUGUGGCUCACGCCUGUAAUCCCAGUACUUU
ensembl:misc_RNA Metazoa_SRP Metazoan signal recognition particle RNA